UNAAAAACAUGAUUCCCUANUACUGCGAGUGAAGANGGACAAGCUCAAAUUUUAAAUCUGUCGGGUUCUACCUGACCGAGUUGUAAUUUGAAGAAGCGUUUUCUGCGUAUUUGGUCAGCCUAAGUCCUAUUGAAUGAGGCAUCAUGGAGGGUGAUAAUCCCGUCCGGUUGAUCAUUUGCGUUUUACGAUACGCUUUCUAANAGUCAAGUUGUUUGGGAUUGCAGCUUAAAAUGGGAAGUAAAUUUCUCCUAAGGCUAAAUAACGGCGAGAGACCGAUAGCGAACAAGUACCGUGAGGGAAAGAUGAAAAGAACUUUGAAAAGAGAGUUAAACAGUACGUGAAAUUGUUGAAAGGGAAACGAUUGAAGCCAGUCGUACCUUCGGGUAAUCAGCCUUUCGGGUGCGAUUCUGUGGAGUUNGAGGAGCUUAACACCUUCAUGCUUUGCAUAUUCGUGCUCUUGGGUGUACUUGCCCGUGUGGUUGGUUAACAUCAAUUUCGGGCACCAUAAAAUGGCUGGAGGAAUGUACCUUCGAUCUUGUAUUGAAGUGUUAUAGCCUUCGGUANAUGUGGUGAUCGAGAUUGAGGAUUGCAACGGAUACCUUUCGGGGCUACCUGUCUGAUCUCUGAUCGUNGCUUUGGUGCUGAAAGCGUGCUUAUAGUUAUCAAAGUCGAUGGUCNAUAGGUUANAAUGGGUUAAAUNCGUNAAGGAUGUUGACGUA
rnacentral:rRNA from 1 species